UGGGGAAUAUUGCACAAUGGGCGCAAGCCUGAUGCAGCCAUGCCGCGUGUGUGAAGAAGGCCUUCGGGUUGUAAAGCACUUUCAGCGAGGAGGAAGGUGGUGAGCUUAAUACGCUCAUCAAUUGACGUUACUCGCAGAAGAAGCACCGGCUAACUCCGUGCCAGAGCCGCGGUAAUACGGAGGGUGCAAGCGUUAAUCGGAAUUACUGGGCGUAAAGCGCACGCAGGCGGUUUGUUAAGUCAGNUGUGAAAUCCCCGGGCUCAACCUGGGAACUGCAUUUGAAACUGGCAAGCUAGAGUCUCGUAGAGGGGGGUAGAAUUCCAGGUGUAGCGGUGAAAUGCGUAGAGAUCUGAGGAAUACCGGUGGCGAAGGCGGCCCCCCUGGACGAAGACUGACGCUCAGGUGCGAAAGCGUGGGGCAGC
rnacentral:rRNA from 1 species